UACGGAGGGUGCAAGCGUUGUCCGGAUUUAUUGGGUUUAAAGGGUGCGUAGGCGGUCUUUUGAGUCAGUGGUGAAAUCCUCCAGCUCAACUGGAGAACUGCCAUUGAUACUGGAAGACUUGAGUAUAGUUGAGGUAGGCGGAAUUGACAGUGUAGCGGUGAAAUGCAUAGAUAUUGUCAAGAACACCGAUUGCGAAGGCAGCUUACUAAACUAUAACUGACGCUGAGGCACGAAAGUGCGGGGAUCAAACAGG
rnacentral:rRNA from 1 species